rnacentral:rRNA from 1 species
UCCCCCCUCUAAUCAGUGAAACUGAUCUCCCCGUGAAGAAGCGGGGAUAUACAUAUAAGACGAGAAGACCCCAUGGAGCUUUAAACCUGACAGCACCCGCUCAUUCUAUACCCCAUUAUUUGCCCGACCCCUGUCUGCUCAGUUUUAGGUUGGGGUGACCACGGAGUAUAAAGUAACCUCCAUGAAGAAGGGGAUAUUUCCCUUAUUAGAGAACCACACUUCCAAGAACUAAUAAAUUAAUUUUCAAUGACCCGAUACCCGAUAAUCGAUCAACGAACCAAGUUACCCUGGGGAUAACAGCGCAAUCCACCCUGAAAGCCCUUAUUAACAGGUGGGUUUACGACCUCGAUGUUGGAUCAGGGUAUCCCAGUGGUGCAGCAGCUACUGAGGGUUCGUUUGUUCAACGAUUAAAACCCU